rnacentral:rRNA from 1 species
UGGGGAAUAUUGCACAAUGGGCGCAAGCCUGAUGCAGCCAUGCCGCGUGUAUGAAGAAGGCCUUCGGGUUGUAAAGUACUUUCAGUCGGGAGGAAGGUGUCAAGGUUAAUAACCUUGGCAAUUGACGUUACCGACAGAAGAAGCACCGGCUAACUCCGUGCCAGCAGCCGCGGUAAUACGGAGGGUGCAAGCGUUAAUCGGAAUUACUGGGCGUAAAGCGCACGCAGGCGGUUGAUUGAGUCAGAUGUGAAAUCCCCGGGCUUAACCCGGGAAUUGCAUCUGAUACUGGUCAGCUAGAGUCUUGUAGAGGGGGGUAGAAUUCCAUGUGUAGCGGUGAAAUGCGUAGAGAUGUGGAGGAAUACCGGUGGCGAAGGCGGCCCCCUGGACAAAGACUGACGCUCAGGUGCGAAAGCGUAGGGAGCAAACAGG